CACAAUACUUUGCCAUGGGUUCUUUAUAAACUUGAGUUGGGGGGGGGUGCGGCAAAACCCACGCUACACCCGUGCUUUACUUCCGCUCCAGCAAGUUUCAAAACAAAGUCCCGCAAUUAAAGGAAAAUUACAAAAAUGUUCCUAACAAAUACAAUGAAGAACAUUAAAAUAAUUCGUUACAAUCGCUAUGAUUUUGACGACUGAAAUUAGCUGCUUAAUUUUGUUCUGCCCUGCCUACUGAGAAACCUGACACCGGGUCAUUUGCGUACUAACAGCGAUUGGAUGUUUAGCCGGGGGGAGAGUGGAUGCGCACAAACGGAGCACGGAGGAAAAGAGCAAACGAGACAUGAAACCUAUCAUGUUUGACUUAAGGGGGCAGGACGUUUGUUUCAGGGGUAACGCCCCCUCUUGCCCGCCCCUACGACACACGCCGAGAAUCCCGACACUGACGUUGAGGUCCAUCCCCUACUCAUGCUCACUGAGGUACCGCAGGGCUUUUGCCACCCGGUGGGGAACACACGGUUUUCGGUGCUUGUCAGCGGGUCUCUCAUAAAUCUGCUGCCCUGUAUAACCGGAGUAUUAGCGAUUAUUUUCCAGCAACCAUUCACGACCGGUCGGAAACUUUUUACACCAACUUUUGUAUCACUCUGAUCUAAUCAGGACCCUAAAACUACAAAUAAUGGAUGUAACAUCAACCUGCUGGACUCUGUUGGUCUCCUUUAUUUUCUCGAUCAUGUCUGCAGAUCAGGAAAACAUCACAGCUGAGUCUGGACAGAACGUCACUCUGACAUGUCGAGCUCCAAACAUCAAGAAUGAUCUUGUAGAGUGGAGCAGAGCUGACCUGGGAGAUGAAUAUGUGCUAUUUUACCGGGAUGAUCUGUCUGUUUCUGAUCACCAGCAUCAAUCAUUUAAGAACCGGGUGGAUCUGCAGGACAGACAGAUGAAGGAUGGAGAUGUGUCUUUGGUUCUCAUGAAUGUGACGAUUAAUGACACUGGAACAUACAAGUGUCGUGUUCCUUUGGACAAAACACACUCAUCGAAUCCCAUCAGCAUCAUCUUCCUGAGUGUUGUUGAUCCUCCAGGUCAGACAGGAGGACACACAGAGGAUGGAGGGAAGGAGGCUAAAGGCAAGAAGGAUGGAUCUGUUGGACUGAAAGUUGGUCUCUCAGUUGCUGUUAUUGUUGUUGCUGCUGUUGUUGUUUUUUUGAUCUACCUAAAACAAUGUAACCAGAUUCAAUAUCAGGCUCCAGUUGAACUUCAGUCUGUUUGAAAUGUUUCCGUUUUUUUUCCAGCUGAUCUGAUUCUCUGUUUCAACUUCUCAGAGGUGACACUGAGCAUUCAGAGCAGGGGCUAUUUUAGCCCAUUUUGAAUCAAAGCACCCCCAAAGAUUUCUUUCUUUCUUUCUUUUUUUUUUUUUUACAAUAUUUUGUAAUAUUUUCUGUUUGUGGGACACACUACUAAAAACAUAAAAAGCAUACAGUACUUAAUUGAGAUGGAACAUUUUAACAACAAAAGUAUAGAUAGAUAUAUAUAGUUAGGUAGCAGUCAGACCAUGUUUCUUAUAGGCUGAAAAACAUUACACCAGGUAACCUGCAGUGUUGAAAACGUGUUUCCCGACUAUGUUUGCUACAAUCCGUCCUGCUCUGUAGAAAAAUCAUUGACAUUUGACCGUCCUGUUGCUCCCAUUGAAAUGUAUAUAACCUAUUUAAAAUCUAAAACUUAACAUUGUCCGUAGCUACUGUUGUUACCACUGUCCUGUUUGAAAUGCAAUGAGAGAAACUGGUUAUUUUGUCCUAUGUGCAUGUGCCGAUAUUAUGCAUGUGCCCAUUAACCUUAUAACUCCUGGUGUGUGUGUGUGUGUGUGUGUGUGUGUGUGUGUGUGUGUGUGUGUGUGUGUGUGUGUGUGUGUGUGUGUGUGUGUGUGUGAUCCAGGUAAACGUGUAAGAUUAAUAAAGGAUAAUGUUGGUUCAGUGUUUCAAUAUUUAUAUCCUUUAUUAGAUGUACAUGUGGUUUGGUCAUUUGCCUUUUGGUUGAAAGUACACUGAGAGAGGACUUUUUUAUUAGUGAUCUUUAUAGUAUUUUGUAUUCAAUUAGAUUUAAAAAUCUAUUUGUGUAUGAUUGUCAGUCCAAAGAGGGAGAGAGGAAAGAGGAGAACCUGAGGAGAAAGUACAAGGUCAGGAAGAACCAGGUAAGAAAACAGACAGGGAACAGUGACAGGCACAACAGAAACUGUUAAACUGACAAAGAAAAAAACAAACAAACUAAUUUUACUCAUAAAAUCUGGAAGUUGUGUCCUCCCUAUAUUAAAGCUGCUAUACAGAAUCUGCAAAACAAACUGGGUUGUCAGCCCUGGCACUGCAUUACCAUAUUGAACUUCAGUCAGAGGAAGUCACAGUUGCCAAAAACUUUUUGAAGCUCAAGAGUGAGGCUGGUGCCGUUCCAGAUAUGUUAACAUUGUACAAUCUUCUGGAUAAUCAGAUCUUCCCCACACUGAAAGCUGUUGUUCAGGUUGCCCUAACAAACCCAGUUAGCAGCUGUAGCUGUGAAAGGUCUUUUAGUGUCUUGAGUCAGCUCUAUACCUGGCUGAGAAGGACCAUGGGUCAAAGCAGACUCCAGCACCUGGCUGUGAUGUCAGUUGAGAAAGAGAUGCUUGAGAGACUUGACCACCAAAAUGUGAUAGACAGAUUUGCCAACCUCAAGGUGAGGCGACAUAGGUUAAAAGAAAGAAAAAUCUGCAGAGCCACAGUAGUAUCUGCAGUAAAGAUCUUUUCAUACAUUGUAUACAUUGUACCAGAGGCCAAGGUGUCUCCAUUUUUCUAAUUUUUUAAUAAUAUUUUGUACAUUUCAAGGACUCGUCUAUUUUUGGAGUGUAUUUUCUAUGUAUCUGUAUUAUAUUAUACAUACACAUUAAAAGUGAAUCUCUGUGCAAAAAAUGCGCUCAGUUUACUUCUUACUCACCAUGAGCAUCAUUCAUUAUUCUCCCCAGUAAUUAAGGUUAGGAUAUGUAUUUUUAAAAAAAAUUCCAAUCCAUUCUUCUUUUGCAGCAUUUAAAUAACCUUUAUCAGAUUUGAUGGUUUUGUUACAGACUUUAAAAAAGUGUUUUGCUUUUCUUUCACAAAUGUGGGGAUUAAAUUGUGUUAAAAUGUACAAAACAGUGAUGUCAUGUUUUGUGACGAGGAACAGGCACAGAGAGACUUGAUGAAUUUAAGAAUCUUA
ensembl:lncRNA